rnacentral:rRNA from 1 species
UACGGAGGGAGCUAGCGUUGUUCGGAAAUACUGGGCGUAAAGCGCACGUAGGCGGCGCAGCAAGUCAGGGGUGAAAUCCCGGGGCUCAACCCCGGAACUGCCCUUGAAACUGCAGUGCUAGAAUUCUGGAGAGGCGAGUGGAAUUCCGAGUGUAGAGGUGAAAUUCGUAGAGAUCCGGAAGAACACCGGUGGCGAAGGCGGUUAGCUGGGCAGUUGCUGACACUGAGGCGCGACAGCGUGGGGAGCAAACAGG